GUGCUCGCUUCAGCAACACAUAACUAAAAUUGGAACGAUACAGAGAUUAGCAUGGCCACUGUGCAAGGAUGACACGCAAAUUUGUGAAGCGUUCCAUACCAAA